rnacentral:rRNA from 1 species
CAGUAGCCACGGUAAUACGGAGGGAGCUAGCGUUAUUCGGAAUUACUGGGCGUAAAGCGCACGUAGGCGGCUUUGUAAGUUAGAGGUGAAAGCCUGGAGCUCAACUCCAGAAUUGCCUUUAAGACUGCAUCGCUUGAAUCCAGGAGAGGUGAGUGGAAUUCCGAGUGUAGAGGUGAAAUUCGUAGAUAUUCGGAAGAACACCAGUGGCGAAGGCGGCUCACUGGACUGGUAUUGACGCUGAGGUGCGAAAGCGUGGGGAGCAAACAGGAUUAGAUACCCCAGUAGUCCCUGUCUCUUAUAC